rnacentral:rRNA from 1 species
AUGUGUUAUGAUGGUGCUCCAGGUUGUAAAAAUACGUUCGACAACUACACAGGAGGUUGGAAAGUGGAAGUUGUAAGGCAGAAUUUUCUUCACCGAGAUGCAGAGGCUAUAUUGAACAUCCCCUUGAAUUAUGCGGGAGGCGAAGAUACAAUUGCUUGGGCCCUAGAAAAAUCCGGCAUCUACUCUGUUAAAUCAGUGUAUCGUUCUCUUGUGACUCACAACGAGCUUAGAACUCUAGAGGAAGGGACGAUUACAGAAACUUCAAGGACAGAUAAACAUAUGUGGGAUGCUCUUUGGAAACUUCAUGUGGUACCCAAAGUACGAGUCUUCUGA